rnacentral:rRNA from 1 species
AAAGCGUGCGCAGGCGGUUUUGUAAGACUGUCGUGAAAUCCCCGGGCUCAACCUGGGAAUGGCGAUGGUGACUGCAAGGCUAGAGUUUGGCAGAGGGGGGUAGAAUUCCACGUGUAGCAGUGAAAUGCGUAGAUAUGUGGAGGAACACCGAUGGCGAAGGCAGCCCCCUGGGUCAAGACUGACGCUCAUGCACGAAAGCGUGGGGAGCAAACAGGAUUAGAUACCCCUGU